rnacentral:rRNA from 1 species
GAAUGCUAAAAGAAUGGAAAUUUAAAAAAAAACUUUUUUUAAAAAUAAAAAUUGAAUUUUUUUUAAUUUGUGCAAAAACAAUUAUACUUAUUAAAGACAAGAAGACCCUAAGAAUUUAAGAUUUUACAAUUAAAAAGUUUUUUUUUUUAAAAUCUUGAUUGGGGCGAUCAAAAAAUAUUAAUAACUUUUUAAAAUUUAAAUUGAUCUAUUAUUAAUAAACUAAUGAAUUAAAUACUCUAGGGAUAACAGCGUAAUAAUUUUUGAUAGAUCUUAUUGACAAAAUAGUUUGCGACCUCGAUGUUGGAUUAGGAUUCUUUUUUAAUGAAGAAGUUAAAAAAAGAAGUUUGUUCAACUUUUAAAUUCCUACUUGAUCUGAGUUCAAACCG